CCUGAGAUCAGCGGCGGACGGGUGAGUAACACGUGGGUAACCUGCCUGUAAGACUGGGAUAACUCCGGGAAACCGGGGCUAAUACCGGAUAACACCUACCCCCGCAUGGGGGAAGGUUGAAAGGUGGCUUCGGCUAUCACUUACAGAUGGACCCGCGGCGCAUUAGCUAGUUGGUGAGGUAAUGGCUCACCAAGGCGACGAUGCGUAGCCGACCUGAGAGGGUGAUCGGCCACACUGGGACUGAGACACGGCCCAGACUCCUACGGGAGGCAGCAGUAGGGAAUCUUCCGCAAUGGACGAAAGUCUGACGGAGCAACGCCGCGUGAGUGAAGAAGGUUUUCGGAUCGUAAAACUCUGUUGUUAGGGAAGAACAAGUGCCGUUCGAAUAGGGCGGCGCCUUGACGGUACCUAACCAGAAAGCCACGGCUAACUACGUGCCAGCAGCCGCGGUAAUACGUAGGUGGCAAGCGUUGUCCGGAAUUAUUGGGCGUAAAGCGCGCGCAGGUGGUUUCUUAAGUCUGAUGUGAAAGCCCACGGCUCAACCGUGGAGGGUCAUUGGAAACUGGGGAACUUGAGUGCAGAAGAGGAAAGUGGAAUUCC
rnacentral:rRNA from 1 species